GACGAACGCUGGCGGCGUGCCUAAUACAUGCAAGUCGAGCGAAUCAAUAGGAGCUUGCUCCUGUUGGUUAGCGGCGGACGGGUGAGUAACACGUGGGCAACCUGCCUGUAAGACUGGGAUAACUUCGGGAAACCGGAGCUAAUACCGGAUAAUCCUUUUCCACUCAUGUGGGAAAGCUGAAAGUCGGUUUCGGCUGACACUUACAGAUGGGCCCGCGGCGCAUUAGCUCGUUGGUGAGGUAACUGCGCACCAAGGCGACGAUGCGUAGCCGACCUGAGAGGGUGAUCGGCCACACUUGGACUGAGACACGGCCCAGACUCCUACGGGAGGCAGCAGUAGGGAAUCUUCCGCAAUGGACGAAAGUCUGACGGAGCAACGCCGCGUGAGCGAUGAAGGCCUUCGGGUCGUAAAGCUCUGUUGUUAGGGAAGAAUAAGUACCGGAGUAACUGCCGGUACCUUGACGGUACCUAACCAGAAAGCCACGGCUAACUACGUGCCAGCCGCCGCCGUAA
rnacentral:rRNA from 1 species